rnacentral:rRNA from 1 species
AUGCCAUUUGGCCUAUGCAAUGCACCGACAACAUUUCAGUGCUUGAUGAACACGGUGUUUGGGCGCUAUGUGCGUAAGUUCAUCAUCAUAUUUUUGGAUGACAUCUUGGUAUUUAGCACUGACCUGCAGGAACAUGAAGAACACCUCCACCUCACUUUGCAACUUCUCCGUGAACAUCAACUAUUCGCCAAGGACAACAAGUGUUCGUUUGCACAAACAAGCAUUGAAUACCUCGGGCAUGUGAUCUCACAAAAGGGAAUUGUGACGGAUAACAGCAAGACCAGCGCCAUGCAGUCCUGGCCUGUGCCCACGAUGCCCACCGAGCUGUGCGGCUUCUUGGGGUUGAUGGGCUACUACCGCAAAUUCUCCCCCCACUACGGCAUCAUCGCCAAACCACUGACGCAACUCUUGAUGAAGAAAGGGUUUCACUGA